CACGUAGGGGGCGAGCGUUGUCCGGAUUUAUUGGGCGUAAAGAGCUCGUAGGCGGCUCGGUAAGUCGGGUGUGAAAACUCUAGGCUCAACCUAGAGACGCCACCCGAUACUGCUGUGGCUAGAGUCCGGUAGGGGAGCAUGGAAUUCCUGGUGUAGCGGUGAAAUGCGCAGAUAUCAGGAGGAACACCGGUGGCGAAGGCGGGUCUCUGGGCCGAUACUGACGCU
rnacentral:rRNA from 1 species